AGAGUUUGAUCCUGGCUCAGGAUGAACGCUAGCUACAGGCUUAACACAUGCAAGUCGAGGGGAAACGACAUCGAAAGCUUGCUUUUGUAUGGGCGUCGACCGGCGCACGGGUGAGUAACGCGUAUCCAACCUGCCCACCACUUGGGGAUAACCUUGCGAAAGUAAGACUAAUACCCAAUGACGUCUCUAGAAGACAUCUGAAGGAGAUUAAAGAAUCUAUCGGUGAUGGAUGGGGAUGCGUCUGAUUAGCUUGUUGGCGGGGUAACGGCCCACCAAGGCGACGAUCAGUAGGGGUUCUGAGAGGAAGGUCCCCCACAUUGGAACUGAGACACGGUCCAAAACUCCUACGGGAGGCA
rnacentral:rRNA from 1 species